rnacentral:rRNA from 1 species
UACGGAGGGGGCUAGCGUUGUUCGGAAUUACUGGUCGUAAAGCGCGCGUAGGCGGACCUGCAAGUCGGGGGUGAAAGCCCGAGGCUCAACCUCGGAACUGCCUUCGAUACUGCGGGUCUAGAGUCCGAGAGAGGUGAGUGGAAUUCCUAGUGUAGAGGUGAAAUUCGUCGAUAUUAGGAAGAACACCAGUGGCGAAGGCGGCUCACUGGCUCGGUACUGACGCUGCGGCGCGAAAGCGUGCGUAGCAAACAGG